GGCUCAUUUCAGCAGACAUCUACUAGAACCGCAAUAACAGAAACUAAAGAUUAGCAUGGCCCCUGGGCAAGAAUGACACACAUAUUCGUGAAGUGUUCUAUAUUCUU